rnacentral:rRNA from 1 species
UAAGGGAUAUUGGUCAAUGGGCGGGAGCCUGAACCAGCCAUGCCGCGCGAGGGAAUGAGGCCCUACGGGUCGUAAACCUCUUUUGCCGGGGGAUAACGGGCGCCACGCGUGGCGCCGUGAAGGUACCCGGAGAAUAAGCAUCGGCUAACUCCGUGCCAGCAGCCGCGGUAAUACGGAGGAUGCGAGCGUUAUCCGGAUUUAUUGGGUUUAAAGGGAGCGUAGGCGGGCUGUUAAGUCAGCGGUCAAAUGUCAGGCCCAACCUUGGCAUGCCGUUGAUACUGGCGGCCUUGAGUUCACACAAGGAAGGUGGAAUUCGUCGUGUAGCGGUGAAAUGCUUAGAUAUGACGAAGA